rnacentral:sRNA from 1 species
UGUUGUGUGUGUUUUUUUUCCUAUUCCUUAUUAUUAUUAUUUGCAUUUUGCGACGCGGCGAAUGCUGCGUUUAAACAUAGAAUUUGUUCUACCUUUUAGAGCUCUCUCUCUCUCUCUAUGGACCACCAACAGCUGUCUGAUUUUCAAAUGAUUAUUAUGCAGAGAGGGUAAAGGAAAAAACAACAGACAGCAGCCACCGGCACAGUGGAACGUGAAAGCAACGGGAUUACAGUGGAACAGACAGCAAGGAUUACAAACAGCUGCUGCACAGUGGAACACCGGGGAUUACCAUGGAAAAAACCGGCAAUGAAAAUGAAAAUGAAAAUCCUACAAAAACGGAUUGAUUAUUGUUUUUAGACUUUAACAUUUUUUUUUUGUAAUACUGUGUGUUGGAUUCAUCGUGAAUUUUUCAAAUGGAAUACCAAUAAUAAUUGUGAAAUGUUUGCAUUGGAUGAUACCCCGCAAAAUGUGCAACCGCAGCAGAGCCGUCGCGACCACAAAUCUUAAAGAAAAUUCCUUUAAGAUCAAUAACAAUACAAAUUGCGGUAAUCUAACAAAAACUACCAUAACCUAAGAAAACAAAGAAAAACAAAGCAAAACAAAAGGCAAGAAACAG